GCUGAGCUCGGUAAUGUGGGCUUGUAACCCAAAUGGAGACAUUAAUGCGGUGGAAUGCUGGGCUGUCCCAGAUGGUUUAAUGCGGUGGAAUGCUGGGCUGUCCCAGAUGGUUGGGCAUGACGGGCUAGUUUCUGGCCUGCCCUAUCCAAGCAUGGAGUCAGAUGCAUGACGGGCUAGUUUCUGGCCUGCCCUAUCCAAGCAUGGAGUUAGAUCACAGAGCCUGAUCAAAAGAAUGGGCUCCUUGAUUCCUAAAGCGGGGUGUACUGUGUGAGGCUGGUCUCACAGAGCAAUGAACAGCUCUCACUCUGUGCAGUGGCCGGACAACAGGCCGGUGCCUUAUCACGUCCAGUAACGCUGCUCCAAUUAGACCACCACUUUU
rnacentral:SRP_RNA from 1 species